CGAGGGCUCAAAAAGAUUAGGAAGGGUGAGAACUAGAAAGACUAUCCAGUUUAGCAGGAAUGUGAUGAUGAAAAGAUCUCAAGUAAUGGUGAUUGAUUCCCACUGAAGGUACUAUCUCUCCUUGUAGCUGUAUUAGUUCUCUCAUUGCUGGACACAAUACCCAACACUCAUAAAUUUUUUUUUUUCUUUUUGAGACAGGUUCUCGCUAUUCAGGUCAGGCUGGCCUUGAGCUCACUUUGUAGCCCAGGCUGGUCUUGAACUCACAACAAUCCUCCUGCCUCAGCCUCCCAAGUGCUGGAAUAACAGGAGUGCAUCACCACACCUGGCUACACUCAAUUUAAAUGCAUACCAAAAGUUUAAUUUGCUCCUGGUUUUCGUCCAUAAUCAGCUAGCUCCAAGGAAAACACGUCACGAUGAAAGGGUCUACUAUAGCACAGAUGCUAAGCUCAUGGUGUCCAGGAAACAGAGCAGGCAAAGAGAGCCAGAGAGGAAUGGGCCAUGGAUCAGAUAUAGUACCCAAGGUCCAUGGCCCUCUCCCACACCCAGAUUCCUAUUAAUGAAAAUCUCCUUUUUCAGUCCCCUCUGAAGGUGUUUCCCCCAGAUUCCUCAUGCUGGCCUGAAACUGACUUCAGAUGUGAAGACAGAAAGCAGAUACAAUGCCCUGCACAAUUCAUGGCUCUAGAAGGCACUUGCAGUCAGGGUAUCGCAAUUUGGAAAGGAAGAUGGCCAUGGGAAUCAUGGCCCGAAGGAAAGAGGCACACAGUGUCCCUCCGUGUCCACGUGUUAAAUCUCAUGGCAGGACUUUGGCCCUCUGUGAGUCACAUGCCCAUCCCUUGGGCAUAAAUAUAUAAUAAACUAUGACCUACAGACCCUGUCCAGCUUGCCUCCUGUUUUUGGACAGUUCAGCUAAAAAUACUUUUGUUUUUUUUUUGUUUUGUUGUUUUUUUUUUUUUUGGAUACAGGGUCUUACUAUGCAGUACAGGCUGGCCUUAAACUUACUUUGUAGCCCAGACUGGUCCUGGACCCACAGAUAUCCUCCUGCCUCAGCCUCUCAAGUACUGAGAUUACGGGCACAUGCCACCAUGCCUGGCUGGUUUUGUCAUCUUAAAAUCAUUUUUUAAAACCAAAAAUAUGGGUAAUAUUUUAUAAUACCUAAAAAUUACAUGAAAUUCAAAUUUUAAUUUGCUUAUUUAUUAUCUAUGGCUGUUUUUCCAGCUUGAGUAGAGGUGACAGAGACUGCACAGCCCAUAAAACAUAAAAUAUGUGAUAUUUGCUCUUUUUUUUCUAGCUCUAGGGACUGGACUUGAACUGGGGAUCCUCUUACUUUAGUCUGUCAAGUCACUGGGUGCUGUCUACUCUUUAUAGAAAAAUUGUGCUGCCCUUGUCCUAGACUAAUCAUGGUAAACAAGAAGAUAGGGCACUGUAAUUGGUCAGAUCGAGUUAAAUUAUGCACCAAGCCCAGCACCUGGGAAGUUGUGGGGGCAUAAGAAGACCACAUUAUACUUGUUGAGCACUUAUUUAUCAGGUAUUGCUGUCAGCACUUCAUAUGUAAUAACUUAUUUCAUCUUUGUACGAACCCAAGUGACAAGAAAUUUUGUCAUUUCCAUUUAAUAAAUGAAGAAACUAAGGUACAGAAAAAUUGAAGAACCUGUUAAAAGUUACACAG
rnacentral:lncRNA from 1 species